UACGAAGGGGGCUAGCGUUGCUCGGAAUCACUGGGCGUAAAGCGCACGUAGGCGGACUCUUAAGUCAGGGGUGAAAUCCUGGAGCUCAACUCCAGAACUGCCCUUGAUACUGGGAGCCUUGAGUUCGGGAGAGGUGAGUGGAACUGCGAGUGUAGAGGUGAAAUUCGUAGAUAUUCGCAAGAACACCAGUGGCGAAGGCAGCACUCUGGGACGUGACUGACGCUGAGACGCGAAAGCGUGGGGAGCAAACAGG
rnacentral:rRNA from 1 species